UUUCCGUAGGUGAACCUGCGGAAGGAUCAUUGUCGAUACUUAACAGGAUAACUGUGAAUUUGCCUUCAAGUUAGGGUCGUUGUGUGAGGUAACUCCAUAGCGUUCCUUUUGUCGCUUGGGCUGCGGUUAAACAAACCCCGGCACGGAAUGUGCCAAGGAUUACUAAAUGGAUUGUCUUUCUCAUUUGUGUCAUUUGCGUGGUGCAAAUUGGGAUACGCCUAAAAUUCGAACGACUCCUGACAACGGAUAUCUCGGCUCUUGCAACGAUGAAGAACGUAGCGAAAUGCGAUACUUGGUGUGAAUUGCAGAAUCCCGUGAACCAUCGAGUUUUUGAACGCAAGUUGCGCCCGAAGCUUGUCUGCUGAGGGCACGUCUGCCUGGGUGUCACCCAUCAUGUUGACCCCAUCCCCGGAGAAUGGCCUCCCGUGUGCGUAAGCCUGCGGUUGGCUCAAAUGGAUAUUGGUGGCGCGCACUGUCAUGACAAGCAUUGGUUGAGGAAUCUCCUUGCUUUCGUGUCUGAGUGUCUUGUCCUCGGCGACCCUAUGGCGUGAAAGUUUGUGCCAUCAAAAGCGACCCCAGGUCAGAUGGGAUCACCCGCUGAGUUUAA
rnacentral:rRNA from 1 species